rnacentral:rRNA from 1 species
UGAGGAACAUGACCUUCGGCGGGGGAGUAGCCGGCCCAACGGCCGGGUAAUACCGCGUACGACCUCUCGGGGACAUCCCCGGUUGGUGAAAGCAGCAAUGCACCGAAAGAGUGCCUCGCGGCCUAUCAGCUAGUUGGUGGGGUAACGGCUCACCAAGGCGACGACGGGUAGCUGGUCUGAGAGGAUGGCCAGCCACAUUGGGACUGAGACACGGCCCAGACUCCUACGGGGAGCAG